GCUGGAGCAUCUCUGCUGCCUCCCAGAGGGCCCAUGGGACUCAGGGUCUGGCUGGAAGAAGAGCCCCGUUUGUGUGUGACCAAGACUGCUUGUCAGCAAGACAAGCUUGUCAGGCACCUUAUUCACGCUGUUCAGGGUUAGAAGAGAUGGCGUACUUUACCAUCUGGAGUUUCUCUGCCUCGUUGAUGAUGGAAGCGCAAACCUGCCGGUUUAUAGGAGAUGAUAGAUAACACCUUGUAACGUCUGAGUUGCAAAAAUAUCUGCCUCUAAGAACUCAGGAGGACCUACUUUGUGGGAGCAAAGAUAGUGAGUCAAAGCCGCAGGCUUGGAGAGGAGCGUUCGUUUGAGCCUCUUCACUCAGUCGGGAGAUUUCCUAGGCAACCAUUUAUGUGGUCGUUAAAGGAUGGGGAACUCAGAGGUCUCUUGGAUGGCUGGAAGGAUACGGGAAAUGUUUCUCUUCCUCUGUGAUCCACUAACACUCCCAGACGUUCUGUAGCACGGACUUUGAUUACAUUCUAUUUCAAUGAAUAAGGUGGCUUUUUUCAUGCACCAGUGAAAGAGGAAAGUCCUACAGGUUAUGUGACAGAUUCAUUUUCGCUAGUGUUAGCAAUAAUCUGAAAAGAACCAAAAUAUUAAAAUAUUGGCAGUGCUGAUUUUAAAUAGGGUUAUGUUAUGAUCCUGGCUCAGGUGUUGUGUGGAACUGUUAAACGUAAGAUGAAAUAUAGAAAAUGGCCUUUUUCUCCCAGAGACUGAGAGGGCCCACCCCUGACCCUGAGCACCUGUGGGCGUUAUACGAACGUUUGGAGCUUCUGGCCUCAAUAAAGCAAAUUUUUUCUUUGGA